GAUGAACGCUGGCGGCGUGCCUAAUACAUGCAAGUCGAGCGAACGGACGACAAGCUUUCUUCUCUGAUGUUAGCGGCGGACGUGUUAGUAACACGUGUAUCACCUACCUGUAGGACUGGGAUAACUUCGGUAACCCGUAGCUCAUACCAGAUAAUAUUUUGAACCGCAUGGUUCAAAAGUUCAAGCCGGUCUUGCUGUCACUUAUAGAUGGAUCCGCUCUGCAUUAGCUAGUUGGUAAGGUAACGGCUUACCAAGGCAACGAUGCAUAGCCGACCUGAGAGGGUGAUCGGCCACACUGGAACUGAGACACGGCCCAGACUCCUACGGGAGGCAGCAGUAGGGAAUCUUGGGCAAUGGGCGAAAGCCUGAUGGAGCAACGCCGCGUGAGUGAAGAAGGUCUUCGGAUCGUAAACUGCUUUUGUUAGGGACGAACAUAUGUGUAAGUAAAUGUGCACAUAUUGACGGUACCUAAUCAGAAAGCCACGGCUAACUACGUG
rnacentral:rRNA from 1 species